CACACACAUGUCAACUACAGCUUUGGACGCCCCCGGAAAAUAAAAUUGGGCCUUUUGGUCUUAGCCCAUUUAGGUUUUGAUUGUGGAUUAGGACCGAUUGGAAAAAAAAAACUCGAAAUUUAUAUUUCAAUUUUUUUAAAAAAAAUUUUAAAAAUAUAUCUCUGCCCAUUUAGGUUUAAAAAAAAAUAUUUAUCAAUUUUAAUCUUGUCUUUGAAAAUAUAUAUAACUAGUGGUUGUCUGGAAAAUUAUAAUGAAAAUUAUUUUAUAUAAAUAUAUAUAAUAAAUAUAUAUAUUAAUAUAUGAAACAAUUUAAAAAAAGUAUGUGUCAAUAGAAAAAUGAUAUUACAAACAUAUGUAUGAUUAAUUAGUUUAUAUAUAAAUGGUGCAGAGGAGACGUAUCAAGCAAAAAGAAAAGGUGGAGCGAGAAGAAUGAUGAUAUACAUGCCACCUAGCUUUUCUGGCCGUGCUUCCGGUCGCGGUCGUGGUUGGACCAUGUCGACCAAACCAUGAACUACCGAUUACUUCAUUUUAAUUACAGCUACAUAUGUUGAAUGUUUUAUCUCUAGCAAUUUGUAUAUUCUCCAUUUAUUCUUAACCGUGUUUUGUCCGAUUAGUAACUUAAGCAAUAAAAUUGCUCUUAGUGAAUUUAUUUUAUAUAGAAAGUUAAAAUCACUAAGACUUGAUGUUCAAUAGUAACCAACAAAAUACAGAACUUGUUCCUUUCUCCUCUCUCUGGUUGUCUUCUUGUCCGAGAUUUUACUUAAAUGUGCCAUAAGAUGCAUGAACGACAAAGCCGAAGAUGGCUGCUUCCCCUGGAUGCUGAAUAGAAUUGUCUCAUAGCCGAAGAGCUAUCUCCUCACAGGUGGCGCGCCUCCCCUUCCUCCUGUUCCAUGCCCAAGUACCCUGAGCACUGAUGACAUGACCAAUAUUGAAUUAGUUGCUUUAAAUUUCCAAAACAUUUGUUUAUUGACAAGAGAUAUAAAGAAUAUUCUGAUAUAGCUGUUGGAGAAGAAUUAAAUAGAUGCUCCGGGAAUCGAAGACCUCUGCAUGUUCAGUAUUAGAGGCUCCUCCUCUGCAUGUUUAGUAUUUCAAAUUAGAGGUUCCACUUUCUGUAGUAUAAAUAUAUGUAACCCUGUUAUGAAUAAUUAUAAUCUAAGGGAAUUCAUUUUCUUCCAAGUUACUUUCUCUCUUAGUCUCAACUCUCUUUCUCUGUUUCUUGUUAAGGAAUUAUAACUUUCAUUGCACCCAUAGUUGUUAGUGAUCAUGGUAUCCAAGUACGAAGAAAUCUCAGUUCCUGCUGUUAAUGAUCUCAUCUUGGUCUCAGACAAGGUUUACACUGUGAGAGAAGUUCUUGACAUGGAGAAGUUAAUGGCGAAUUACUUUGCGAUUCAAUUUCUGUUUGCCAACUCCAUACGUGUUCAUGAGGAGGUUUCUCAAAGCUGCACAAUCUGACCAAGAGAUUUUAUUGAGCUUCUAUCAUUCUUCAUCAUCAAGCUCAGCUUAGUAGAGUACGAGAUAUGAUGCUUCAUUACGCUCCGUCUCAAAUCGACAAGAGAUCAAUGGUGAUUCAAGAAACGACUCAGAGAGAGAGAGAGAGAGAGAGAGAGCUUUGGCUGAAGCGGAAUCUCUGGUUGAGAAAGAACUAGAAGGAGCCAUCAGAGAGAUUGUAGAAGUAGAGUAUGAGUGACCGAGUAACCUAUCGUGAUAUGGGGAUCAUGGAAGAGGUUCUCAAUCAACGCCAAAAACAGGUGUGCUGGGCCAUCAGCCUAACAAGACAGCUAGCAGCACUGCUCAAACUUCGUGGACAACUAAAUAUCAAUGCAAGCCUGUCGAUUCAGUAUUUGAUUAACAAAGUAGGGAGUUCACUUUUUGGAGCACAAAUGCUGAGGCCAUGGAAUGGGUCCGUGAGGUCGUUGCAAACAGCUAUCCCAUUCCUGGUCAAUGGGACAGUAUUGGAGAAUCUUGUUCCUCUGCGACAAUUCGACCUACAGAGUUCAACUCCAGAAAAUCAUGUUCUUGGAGAGCGACGUUACAGAGCUGUAUGUAUUGUUGUACACCACAUCGACGAAUAUCGAGGUAUUGUUUAUUCUUGGCCCAGUUAAACCCAACGAGUUUUUUUAAAGACACAUUAAUAUCAGCUUUUUUUUUUUUUGAAAUGAAAAUAUAAACAUUAAAGGUAGACGAAAGCAACAAAUUAACAAAAUAGAGAUUUAAGCUUUAUACAAGAACUAUAAAGCUAGAGAGAGAGACUAAAGCAUGAACUUAGAUAAAAGACAAAAACCGACCUUAAGAAUAGAGUUUAACCUUCAAACCUGCAACAACAAACACGAAGCUUUUAAUUAAAGGGAGUA